UACGUAGGGUGCGAGCGUUGUCCGGAAUUAUUGGGCGUAAAGAGCUCGUAGGUGGUUUGUCGCGUUGUUCGUGAAAACUCACAGCUCAACUGUGGGCUUGCGGUCGAUACGGGCAUCACUGGAGUUCGGCAGGGGAGACUGGAAUUCCUGGUGUAGCGGUGAAAUGCGCAGAUAUCAGGAGGAACACCGGUGGCGAAGGCGGGUCUCUGGGCCGAUACUGACGCUGAGGAGCGAAAGCGUGGGGAGCGAACAGGA
rnacentral:rRNA from 1 species